ensembl:snoRNA SNORD41 small nucleolar RNA, C/D box 41
UGGGACGUGAUGACACCCAUAACCCCUGACAUGGAGCUGAUUUCUCAGUAUUCGUACUGGCUGAUCCCG